rnacentral:piRNA from 1 species
UCCGCAACUUGGAAAUUGUCCUCUAGA